rnacentral:lncRNA from 1 species
AAUGGAGCCAUACAGCACAUACAGGAACCUUUUGGGAUUGGUCUUUUCACUCAGUAUAAUUCUCUGGAGAUUCAUCCAGGGUAGUGAUAUGGACAAUGAAAUCAAGGCUGAGGUGGUCUCAGAAAGAGAUGAGGAACUUUUUGGGAACUGGAGUAAAGGUCACUCAUGCUAUGCUUUAGCAAAAAGACUGGUGGUAUUUUGCCUCUGACCUAGACAUCUGCGGACCUUUGAACUUGAGAGAGAUGAUUUAGGGUAUCUGGCAGAAGAAAUUUCUAAGCAGCAAAGCAUUAAAGAUGUGGCCUUGAUUUUUCUGAAAGUGUACAAAUGUGUUCACGAAGAGAUAAUCUGCAAUUGGAACUUCUGUUUCAAAGCGAAGCAGAGCAUAAAAGUCUGGAAAUUUGCAGCCUGACUGGUAGAAAAGAAAACCCCAUUUUCUGGGGAGAAACUCAAGCAUGCUAC